GAAAUUAGUUAAUUUUACAAUACCUACAUUAAAUUAAAAAAGAUAUUAGUUGCCACAGCUUCGAGACCUAACUUGCAUGAUGUGUGACAGCAAAAUUACAAUUAGAAAUAAAUAUUCUACUCCUAAAAUAUAGUACAAAAGCAUGACUCUGGUGGCCGGCUAACACAUAGGUAUGAAAGUAUCCAAUCAUGUGUCUCUCUAGGGCUUUAGGAUCUACCGGUUAGACAGAUUCCAAAACUCACAGAUGUUUAGUCAUCGUAUUUGCCAAAAUAUCACAAUUCUGAGCAUCUACUCUCUGUGGGGAUAGAAUUA
rnacentral:misc_RNA from 1 species